GACUUUUGGUAAAUCACCUUUUGCCGUUUCCUUUGUCCCCGUGAAGCCCCCCCUGGCCGCCCCCUCCUCAUUCUGGGCUGGCUGGCUGAGGGGGGGGGCAGCCUGAGGGCUGCGACGUGGCAGGUUUCUAGAAUGUUCUAUUGAUGGCCGCAAGAGGGCGCUGGUGGCACUGCGGAAUUUUGGGGGGCGGGGUGGGGAGGGAAGAGGAGGUGGCCUUUGUUCUCCUGCAGGAGGGGGUCGGGAGCGAGAUGGGUUGCGGGACCAUGGGUUCAUUUACCUAUGGGGAAAUGUUAGUAGAUACCUGGAUUCACUAAGGUGCGCUUGCAGGACUUACAAUAGGUCAGAGAUGGCGUCAUCUGCAGUGGCUGUGUGAUUUAGGGUGUCAUGGACGCAGAUUAAUUUAUUUUCAGUGAUUUGUGUUUUCUGGGGUCUUAGAAAGGUGUGGCUUUUUGAGGAAGAAUUGCAAAAAAUAUUAAUUAAUUAGGCGUCAUCCAUAAGGGUCUUGAGAGUUGACGUGGCAAAGGGGGGGCAAGGUUUUGAGGAGAAGGGUGUUAAUUGGGUGGGGGGAGGCAGGGUGGUCUGCCUUUAUUUUGUCAUAUAGCUGAAGACCUCAAAAAUGAGUGUUCUGUAUUAAGAAUUGAGUCUUUAAAUUUUAAUUAUGCUUAAUUGGAUUUACUAAUGGUGGGUGGGGGCAGCGUCCUGCUUUUACUUAUCAGGAGUAGAAUUGUGGUCUGGGGGCAGCCCCUUACUGCAGGGUCUCUUUGGUGCAAGGCGGCUCCUGGAUGCCUGUGUGUGUGCUGCGUCAUGUCUGGAAAAUGGCUCAGGCAGAGGCGAUGGGGGUGCAUAGCGACCCUUAAAGAUGGCUGAUGUGNNNNNNNCCCCCCCCCCCCAAGCCUGAAACCUGUUGGGCGCCCUCCCCCCUCCUACGUCAGUCUAGCUCUAGCAGCUGCGUCCUGGCGCCUGUGGGGGCGCCUCAGGUGGUUGGGCUAUUGGAGUCUUAGUGAGUGCGGGCCGCGCGCCCCCUAGCGGUCUCUAUGUGCAAAUGGUUCUUGGCCUGCCAGACUAGCGCUAGAGUUGCGCAUGCGCACACAGCUAACACUUGUGACCUGUCAAUCAAUUCAUCUGUACCCCUCCCAUUGCUGUCCUCCCCUCCCAUUUCUCCUCCUACUUCUCCUCCCAUUUCUACUUUCCCUCUUCCCCCUCCCAUUUCUGUUUUCCCUCCUCCCCCCUCCCAUUUCUUCUCCCUCCUCCCCCUCCCAUUUCUCCUCUCCCUCUUUCCCCUCCCACUUUUCUCCCCUAUCUUCCCCCUCCCAUUUUUCCUCACUUCUUCCCUCCUCCCACUUCUCCUCCCUCCUCCCUCCUCCUUUCUCCCCCCCACCCACUUCCCUCAUUCCUCUUACCCCUCCCUUCCUCCUAUCGGCUCACACCAGUCUUCCAGGACCACCUUCUGGAUGCCAAGGCUGCUGCUCGAGUACCUGNNNNNNNNNNNNNNNNNNNNNNNNNNNNNNNNNCUCCCUCCUGAGCCAAGGAGCACGGAUUCCAGGAACCCACUACCAUACAGAGCAACUCCUUGUGGACCCCCCUGGGAUCAGGACAGCGAGGGACAAGCGACAAAGAGGAUCAUCAGUGGCCAGCUAGUUUCUCUGGGGUUCAAACCUUGAACCAGUGCCCUAGUGAGGGGGCACUGGCCAUGGCCCUUGACCUUUGCUCUGCUUGUGUCUUGAGUCUGAGCCCUUUCCUGUACAUCUGUGCUCGUGUUCAUCUGCUAGUGAACUGGAGUGCUGCCCUCCCCGAGGAGGGUCGUCCCUUGUGACUGAUCAUGCUGUCCUAACAAUGUCCUGAGCAAAAGGGUCCCUUUGGGAACCUCUCAGGAGGGGGACCCGGGUCAGGGGCGACCAGCAUCUUGCUGGCAACUCCGUGGGUGGGGUGGGGUGGGGUGCUUCCUUCUGGAAUGAGCACGUGGCUGACCCCCCAAGGCAUGUCCCCUCCCCCUCCUCCACCCACCUUCUCGGAGAUGUCCCUUUUGGGGUAGUGGGGACAUUAGGAGCAACCUCCUAGGGUUGUUGUGAGAAUUAAAUGAACUGCAGCAGCCUGAGGCAGGGCUGGGCAGAGACCUCAGCACAUGUUUGUUGAAAGGUUUGCAGGUGGAUCUAGUCCUCCCGUUCAUGGCUCAUGUGUCUCAACCAUUCUCUCGCAGACUCCUGCAGCCCCUAUGCCCAGGGCUCUCCUUGCGCCAGCCCCGGCUUCUCGAGGCCUGUCUACACUCGCUGCUUUCCUUCCUCACCUCCAAUUUCCCCUCCAACCCACUGCUUCCUGACUCGCUCUUCUCCAUCGAACGGCUCUCGCUCAGGCCUGUCGCGUCUUCCUGUGCCAUUUGCUGUUGUGCUCAGGUUCCACGAGCUGCCCAUCUCCACAGAAGAGCAGCUGGCAUUGCCCACCGGCCAUGCCGGCUGAAGAAAAGAAGACUGAGGACCCCAGGAUGCCCAGCGCGAGGACCCCAGGAAGCCCAGCGCGAGGACUCCACCCACGACGCCCAGCGCGAGGACUUCACGCACAACACGUUGCAACCCUCCUGGAUUAGGCCAAAGCCAUCAUCUGGAAUCCUGCGUGGGACCCUGGACACACGGACACAGACACCUGCCCCCAGGACCCUCCAACUGUAAAUCGAUUGGAAGCGCCCUUGUGAGCUGGGGCCUUCAAAGGGCUGAGGAGAAAAUGCAGGCCGAGAGACCAGCUUCUCAAAUAGGCUUCAAGCCUCCAUGACCUGAGCUCACCCCCUGGAAAUGUCUGGAAAACAUAAUGGGCAGGUUUUCUGUCUUCAAAGUUUCCAUCAAAACCUCUUCAAGUUCUUUAUUGUUUAGGACUGAGACACUUGGGGACAGUAAUGGGGACUUUCUUUUGUAUCUGUCUUGAAAGGCCAAAAUAUUUUUAUAUUGCUGUAGACAAAGCCACCUAUUUACAAAUGGACUCUUGUUCCGUCGUUUCCCACCAGGAAGACCGUACUAUGUUUGUGUCUCUAUGUAUUCUGGGGUCUUGAAACAGGUUUCUCAUGGGGAUGGCCAUUCACUAGAGCCCAGAGGGGCAGAAGGGGAAGUGUCUACCCUGCCAAGGGGGUCUGGGGAAGGAGGGGGGCUAGUCUCAGAUUUGCUCCUUGUAUGUCUAGGGUAAACCCUGGGAGAAUCUGGUGGUAAAAGAACAUAUGCUGUGUUUGCCCCACAUCUGCCAUUUGUGUGUGUUUCUGGGCUACGGGUUUGCACACUUUGGUGGUUAACAUGGUGGGAGGAAGUAAGAAGGGCCAAGAGGGCACGGGUGCUCUGGUUUUCCUGCUGGGAGGCUGUUUCACUGGUGUGUGUUACAUCACAUAAUGCAUGUUUAGCUGGGUGAGUGACAACAGUAUGAAGGGACAGAGAAACAAAUAGGUGUAGAAAGAGAGUCACAGAGCACACAGUCACCAUUCUGUGCCCAGGCGUUCAUUAAAUGUUCAAUAGAAUGCUGAGCUCUGAUAGACAGAGCGGGCCAUGGACACACUGGUAUUGGGUCAUCAUGGACCUAAGGAGUUUUUUUAAUUGAAGAAGGAAUCUUACAUAACAGAAGAAAGAAUAAGAAGAGCUGUCAAAACGAGCUCUGAGGUUUUUGAAGCCCCUUAAUAUAAACAGACAGACAAUGGCGUGAUCAGGAAAGGGAGAAAACAAACAAACAAACAAACAAGAUGCUUACAGAAAUACGAGAGGACGUGUGAGCAUGCAAAGAGAACCCAGCUAGGUUAGUAUCGGGGUGCUGGUGGAUCGUUAAUCCUGUCUGGGUACCCCAGCUCCAAGGGGAUGAGAGGCAGCAAGUGAGAGGACACAUAGGAAACUGUAACAAGACAGAGGCGAGCAGAUGGGGAGCUUCAGCGGAGUGUUAAGCUAGGCUUCGCAAUCUGACCACUUAACUCUCCCAGCAAAGAAAAGAAAGGCUUAAAUACUAAAAAGAAGGAAAGCUGGAAGAAAGGAUGGUAGAUGUGAAAGGCAUAGAGGAUAGAAAGCAAUAGGGAGUGGAGUGCAGGUGCUGUGGAGAGACGCUUGCAGGUGACUCAAUUCACCAGCCUGUGCAGCUGAGAAAGACAGCCAGUGACAAAGGAGAAGAAGAAAGGUAACAAUACACUCACAAAUAGGUAGAUGAAUGUAGCUGGAAGACGGGGCCUGGCUAGGGACGGGAUGAGAGGCUGUGUCAGCAGACUGGUUAAUUCCCAUCUGUGCUUCUGAGAUGGACAAUGACCCACCCGACCAAGAGACCUUUCAGGCAUCAAUAUGUCAGGGAGGGCUUCAAUGGGGCAAUGGAGGCGAGGCCCAUUAAUAGCAGAUUAUGAUGUAUCCAAUUAGGUGCACCUGCCCUCUGGAAGUGCAGAAACCAGUAUUGAAAUGGAAAGAAAGACUGAAUGGAAGUCCGAGAGUACAAAUGAAUGGAUGGGAAAAAAGAUUUGCAUUCGCUCUUAGGGGGAGGGUGCUGCUGAGCCCCAGGGUCAUCUGAUCUCCCGGAGAAUAAAAGGGCGAGGGAGUGAUAGAGAGUAACAAUAAGAUGGAGAAGAAAUGAAAAGGAGUACAGAGAGAAUAAGUGGGGACAAUGAAGUCUAGGAGCGCGGCUUGUUUAACACAAGUCAUCCAUAUUAAUUCAAAAUUGAGGCCCUGGGAUGGGAUGGGCUGUGUCCAAGGGAUGAAGCUGUUGCCUAGCAUGUGCCAAGUUCUGGGUUCCAUCUCCGCCUGGCAAGACAAACACAGGAAACAAAAUUAUAGCCCAGAGGUUGUAAAUGUUGUUUUUGAUGGUUUUGGGACAAAGAGCUAGAUCGGUUGGAAGAUAGAGAAAUAGGAAGAGGUGGGAAAGAGUUAGAUGAGCACAAGAGGAAGCAGCAGUUCUUAAGAUAAGUGUUUAAAUAUGGUGAAUGCGUAGCUCUUGGGUGUGUCAAGAUGAAAAUAACGAAAAGAAACAAGUUUAGGGAUGACGGCACAGGGAUGAGCGGAAGCGGUGACUUUAGUUAAUCACCGUGGCCAACUCAAGCCCUGUCAGGGAUUUAAAAAAAGGUACAAAGGCGAUAAAGGAAGACACAUGCAAUACGGAAGAGAGAGACAGGACAGACAGACACAGCGAAAAGGCUGAGGACAUGCCUGAGAGGGUCGCGAAGGGAUGAGAGAGAGAACAGCGAGAAUUCUGCUUAAUUCAAAACCGGGCUCCUGAGAUAGCUAAAUAUCUCCUGAGCCCAAACACCAGCACAGGAGAUUAAAUAACAAAAGAGCUGCAGGCAGACCCAAGUGGAGAAGGCUUGGGACCCUCAGAUCAGGCUUCAACUAAAUCUGUGCACCUGAGGUCCAUAAAUAAAAGAAUAAAUAUUGAAAUAAAGGAGUGACAGAAAGGAUGAAUGAGCACACAUGACUGAAUUAGAAAUGGAAAUGGCUAGAGCAGCCAGUAAGGAGUGGCCCAUGGGACUUCUGCUCAUCUUAUUCUGGGCACCUGAGGUCCCUUCGUGAGAAGAUGCAGGGAGAAGAGGGGAAGGGAAAGGCAUGAGAGCAAAUGAAAGAGAGGCGAGGAGAGGAAAUGAGAAAGUGGCAGAGAGGGGAAGCGAUCGGUGGGUGCCUCGGAAGAGGAAUGUCCACGAGGAUUAAUAACGAGGCUCUCAUUAAUCCUAAAGAUCGAUGAGGUAAUCCAGACCCAGGUUCUUAAGGGGAAGGAGAAUGG
ensembl:lincRNA Meg3 maternally expressed 3